CAGUCGCCGCGGGAAUACGUAGGGCGCAAGCGUUAUCCGGAAUUAUUGGGCGUAAAGAGCUCGUAGGCGGUUUGUCGCGUCUGCCGUGAAAGUCCGGGGCUCAACCCCGGAUCUGCGGUGGGUACGGGCAGACUAGAGUGAUGUAGGGGAGACUGGAAUCCCUGGUGUAGCGGUGAAAUGCGCAGAUAUCAGGAGGAACACCGAUGGCGAAGGCAGGUCUCUGGGCAUUAACUGACGCUGAGGAGCGAAAGCAUGGGGAGCGAACAGGAUUAGAUACCCCGGUAGUCCCUGUCUCUUAUAA
rnacentral:rRNA from 1 species